rnacentral:ncRNA from 1 species
CAAAGGCUUGGUCCUGACUUUACCAUCAGCUUUGGCCCAAUUUAUACAUGCAAGUAUCCGCACCCCUGUGAGAAUGCCCUCACCACCUCUACCUGAGGGAGAGGAGCCGGCAUCAGGCACACUAACUAGCCCAAGACGCCUUGCUUAGCCACACCCCCAAGGGACCUCAGCAGUAACAAAUAUUAAGCUAUGAGUGAAAGCUCGACUUAGUUAAGGCCAUAAGGGUCGGUAAAAUUCGUGCCAGCCACCGCGGUUAUACGAAAGACCCUAGUUGAUAGUCCACGGCGUAAAGGGUGGUUAAGGUGUACAAAAAUAAAGCUAAAAACCCUCUAAGCUGUCAUACGCUUCCCGAAGGCAUGAAGCCCAAUCACGAAAGUAGCUUUAAACCUUCCUGACACCACGAAAGCCAAGGAACAAACUGGGAUUAGAUACCCCAUUAUGCUUGGCCGUAAACCAAGAUGCACCAUUACAAAUGCAUUCGCCAGGGUACUACGAGCACAGCUUAAAACCCAAAGGACUCGGCGGUGCCUCAGACCCACCUAGAGGAGCCUGUUCUAGAACCGAUAACCCUCGUUUAACCUCACCACCCCUUGUUCUCCCAGCCUAUAUACCGCCGUCGUCAGCUUACCCUGUGAAGGCUUAACAGUAAGCAAAAUGGGCAACCCAAAAACGUCAGGUCGAGGUGUAGCAUACGGAGUGGGAAGAAAUGGGCUACAUUUUCUAUAUUAAGAAUAUUACGAAUGACAUUUUGAAAAAGAUGUCUGAAGGUGGAUUUAGCAGUAAAAAGCAAAUAGAGUGUCCUUUUGAAUUAGGCUCUGAGACGCGUACACACCGCCCGUCACUCUCCCCAAAACUAACAACACAACAUACAUAAUAAUAUAAUCAGUACAACGGGGAGGCAAGUCGUAACAUGGUAAGUGUACCGGAAGGUGCACUUGGAACAA